rnacentral:rRNA from 1 species
CCUACGGGCGGCAGCAGUGGGGAAUAUUGGACAAUGGGCGAAAGCCUGAUCCAGCCAUGCCGCGUGUGUGAAGAAGGCCUUCGGGUUGUAAAGCACUUUCAGUGGGGAAGAAAGCCUUGGGGCUAAUACCCUCGAGGAAGGACAUCACCCACAGAAGAAGCACCGGCUAACUCCGUGCCAGCAGCCGCGGUAAUACGGAGGGUGCGAGCGUUAAUCGGAAUUACUGGGCGUAAAGCGCGCGUAGGCGGUCUGAUAAGCCGGUUGUGAAAGCCCCGGGCUCAACCUGGGAACGGCAUCCGGAACUGUCAGGCUAGAGUGCAGGAGAGGAAGGUAGAAUUCCCGGUGUAGAGGUGAAAUGCGUAGAGAUCGGGAGGAAUACCAGUGGCGAAGGCGGCCUUCUGGACUGACACUGACGCUGAGGUGCGAAAGCGUGGGUAGCAAACAGGAUUAGAUACCCGAUAGUC